GUCAUGGAAAUAGCUUGAGCUGGGGUCAGAGCACAAGGGUUUUGUUACCUCCAAUCACCUUUAACGUGUCCCUUCUUUUCUAAGCCCGUUUCUUCCUUUGUAAAGUCAGAGAUCCAAACCAAUGGUGUCUCAGCCCCUCCUAGGUCUGAAUUUUGGUGCAGCAUUUGUUUGUUUGGGAUUUUAAUCUCCUCCUACCAUGUGAGCUCCAUGAUGGCAGAGGAAACUGAGGACUGGGAACACUGAAGAUUAAAACAUAGGAAGGGGCUUUGCUUCGCAAACAGAAUCAUAGGAUGUCAGAAUGGACAAGAAAUCUCAUGAUCAUCUGUUUCCAUAUCUCAAGGAAGACACUGCCUCCUAGAGAAGUCAUUCUGUGGAAUUGUAUUUUGUAAGACUACACAUGUACAAGUUCAAAAACAAGCUUCACAAGUACAGAAUGGAGGAGGCAGGACUGGACAGCCAUGCAUCUGUGGAAGUUUUGGAAGAUUUCAUCAUCUGCAUAGGCAAUGUGAGUCAACAGUGUGAUUUGACAAUUAAACACA